UUUAAAGGAGGUGGUGUGGCUGGUCUCUGAAACAGUGGAUGAGACGAUGGUGGUGGGUACGUAGAACGCGCAGAGGAUUAGAACGAGGAGAAGGACGAUGAUCCAAAGGCAGCAACGGUAGCGGUGGUGACGGCGACUUCGGUUUCCCCUUCAACAAUAGCAAUUUUUCCAAUCGUACUCUUUGAAUCGAGAUUGUUUGUGAAUCCGUUGAGGCUAGACUUGAUGGAGAAGGUUGCACUAGUAUUGUUGAUUGGGCGCAGAAUCGCAAGCGCUGGAGAGUAAACGGUAUCGUUUUGGAACUAUUUUGUAUCUAUUUUCUAUCUAUUCGUUGUUGUUGAUGUAAUUAUUCUGAUGUUAAUUAGUUAAAAUAUAAUAUUAGUUAAUGGAAUUGCUGGUGAAUUUUUAGUG
rnacentral:lncRNA from 1 species